rnacentral:lncRNA from 1 species
GCUGGCCGAGAUCAGGAACUCAAAGGUGAACUCGAACACACGAUUUAGACAGGUUUGGGCUGCUUAGAUCGCGUAAUACCCUACGUUCUGUAUGUUGGUUGUAUUGUAUUGAUUGAACUUGUUUGGAGCGGGUUCCUACCUCACCUUAUAUUGCCGGGGGCAGGCUUACAUGUCAAUUGUUUACAAGAAUACUAGUCAGAUUCGACUAGCGAGUCCUACUCUAAUUGCUAUGAGUAGUUUCCUAAUCAUUGACUAGUUCUUGU